AGCGUGCAGCACAGCUGCUUCAUUAUGCACGGGUUACGUGAUUCGCAGAAUAAAUAUUGCAACGGUCUUUACACACAGCUGAACGCAUUGUUUUUCUUUCCCUGGCACGGUCGUUAAUCCUGUUACUUCUCGUCGGACGUGUACUCGAGAUAACUGCAAUACCCGUUCCUCCCGUUUGCCCUGACGAACGAAAUUCGUGUUUCCAGUUUCCUAUUAUCCUCUCGUACGUCUUUUCUCAUUGCGCCCGCGCGCGUGUACUUUCGGUAACCAUUGUCGUUGGACGUAAUUAGGUUCAACUUUAUGUAAAAACGUUCGUAUUUACCAUUGUUCCGUGUAACUUGCCAGAGGCUCGAAUCCCCUUGCUUUCAAUAUGGUUUCCAUCAUUGUUCGAGUCGAUUUGACGAAUUCACUGUUUAAUUGCUUUGAAUUGGUAGGAUAAAAUACUCAUUGGUAAAAUAUUCAUUGUUUGUUGCAAUUGUUACGCGUACAUGAAACUGGAGUUGUAUUUAAUCCUUAAUCUGUAAACAUUUUUCCAGUUAUUUAUUCCUAACAUAUUUUAUAAUGUGUAAAAGUCUUUUUAAAAAUCUGAACAAAUUUAUAUAUACUUUUCAAACAUUCCGAAUCGAGUUUGGAAUGAAACAUUUUAAAAGUAACUGAUUCAAAUAUAUCUGAACAUAUACAUAUAUGUAAAGUGAAACACGUGAAAGAUAUUAAUCUGAUUAAAAAAAUCAUAACUUUUAAGUGAAUUACGAUACAGCAAAGAAUCGAGUAGCAAAUUGAUAUCGAAGGUUCAAACUUUAAUAAAAAAAAUCUACACUUCUUGAUUGCAGUUUAAUGCUUAAGUUUCUUGCGUGGAUAAUCAUAAUUUUUUUACGCAUGAAAUGUAAGGUUCAUAAGUAAGAAAAUUUUGCUUCGAAACAUUAUUUAUUACAUCGAAACAUGCGUACAUACCUCAUUCUCGUUAAUGUCUCCACCAAGGCAAACCUCACUGGUUCACGGAGCAAGGGUUAAUAUGACAACAUUAGCGUUAAAAUAAUCAAAGAACAAGACGAAUCGUACAGCUCCGCGUCAGGUGUCACGAAUCACGUUUUUGCUAAUUGCAGGACUUUUGCCUACGGGCGAACACAUGCACAUCCAGCCCAUCGACACCGUAUAUACCUUCGACAGCUGGCACGAAAGUCACUGAGUACCCUAAAUCCAAAGCGAGCCCCUUGUCUCCAUGAUCCACGAUCCUCGUCCUCUGCAAAGAAAAUCACGAGCGGUUGUACAUAAUUGCCUGCUCGCUCCUCGAGAUCAGAGGCAAAAAAGUAAAGGCGGCGGAAGUAGUUGCUGCUCAUCUUCCUGUCGCAUACUUUAAAACCUCGCCGGCUGCCCUGGAUCACGCGGGGGUCGUUCAGAGUGCGAGCCAGCGCGCACGCGUUCAGGCUGAGCCGUUGGUUUCUAAGGUUUUAUGCUGGUGUAUAAUUGUUAGUGGCUGAGCUCGUGAGCAGUGUAGCAAAAAAAAAAAAGAAAGAAAGAAAG